CCUACGGGAGGCAGCAGUGGGGAAUAUUGGACAAUGGACGAAAGUCUGAUCCAGCAAUGCCGCGUGAGUGAUGAAGGCCUUAGGGUUGUAAAGCUCUUUUACCAGGGAUGAUAAUGACAGUACCUGGAGAAUAAGCUCCGGCUAACUCCGUGCCAGCAGCCGCGGUAAUACGGAGGGAGCUAGCGUUGUUCGGAAUUACUGGGCGUAAAGCGCACGUAGGCGGUUAUUCAAGUCAGAGGUGAAAGCCCGGGGCUCAACCCCGGAACUGCCUUUGAAACUAGAUAGCUAGAAUCCUGGAGAGGUGAGUGGAAUUCCGAGUGUAGAGGUGAAAUUCGUAGAUAUUCGGAAGAACACCAGUGGCGAAGGCGGCUCACUGGACAGGUAUUGACGCUGAGGUGCGAAAGCGUGGGGAGCGAAACAGGAUUAGAUACCCUGGUAGUCCACGCCGUAAACGAUGAUAACUAGCUGUCCGGGCACAUGGUGNGUGGUGGCGCGNGCUACGCAUUAAGUUAUCCGCCGUGGGAGGUACGGUCGCGAGAAGUUAAACUUAAAGUUAGUAAGUUAGUUACGGUCGUUGAGACGUUGCGACGGACGACGACGAGGGGAGGAGG
rnacentral:rRNA from 1 species